rnacentral:rRNA from 1 species
CCUACGGGUGGCAGCAGUGAGGAAUAUUGGUCAAUGGACGAGAGUCUGAACCAGCCAAGUAGCGUGAAGGAUGACUGCCCUAUGGGUUGUAAACUUCUUUUAUAAAGGAAUAAAACGAGGCACGUGUGCCUUUUUGCAUGUACUUUAUGAAUAAGGAUCGGCUAACUCCGUUCCAGCAGCCGCGGUAAUACGGAGGAUCCGAGCGUUAUCCGGAUUUAUUGGGUUUAAAGGGAGCGUAGAUGGGUUGUUAAGUCAGUUGUGAAAGGUUGCGGCUCAACCGUAAAAUUGCAAUUGAUACUGGCAGUCUUGAGUACAGUUGAGGUAGGCGGAAUUCGUGGUGUAGCGGUGAAAUGCUUAGAUAUCACGAAGAACCCCGAUUGCGAAGGCAGCUUACUAAACUGUGACUGACAUUGAUGCUCGAAAGUGUGGGUAUCAAACAGGAUUAGAUACCCUUGUAGUC